UGCAAAAAAAAUAAAUAAAUAAAUAAAUAAAAAAAUCCUGAGAGAAGACAAAGCAAAGAGGCCAACCUACGUGACCCCCGGGGGAUCUUUACAGAUGUGGUCAAGCUGAUAGUGCAGAUGAACCUGAGAAAACAAGUCCUUGGCUUUAGGCACUGCUGGUGCUGUGCCCCCUGGGUCAGAUCACCUUGCCAAAGGAGAUGCCAAUGCCUGUUGUUAAGGGGUUUGUGUAUGUGUCGAGGCCAGGUGAAGGACAGCAGUUUCCACUGAUGCUACCUUACAGGAUCCUGGAGGAAGCAACACUGAGUGAUUCCACAGAGGGAAAGCCAGCACCUACAAUGGCUGUGAAGGGAGUGAGUAAAUCCUCAGACCAUGGAAUUUGGACUUUCUGAUACACCUGGAAUCCAGAUUGAUGAGAAGAUGUGAAGAUGAGAAGAUGAGAAGCAGGCACUCCAAUCAUGGGCAAGGUGAGGGGCUUGUUCUUACAGACCUGGAAGUGUUUACUCCUGAUCUGCUGGACACUGAGAAGGCUGCAAUCCACCAAACAGUAGCACUCUCCAUUGAGCAUUCUCAACUGAAAAUGUUUUGGUUUUCUCUGCUUCCUGAGACUCAUGCCCUCCAGCACUGCUUGUUGACCUCCCCUUCAAACUCAGGACAUUGAUGGACCAUCACAAUGGACAAGCCACCCUGGACCUACAUGGUUGUGAAAGCUCUAGUCAUGGCCCCGUUGGAGUUUACAGCAAUGCAUUCUUUCACUGAGAGAUUAUAUUCCCUUGAGACCAAACCUUCUGCAGGUACUUACCAGUUCUUAUGAAGUUCUUAUCUGGGGAAGAUUCUCAUGCCUAGGAUGAAAUACAUCAAAGAGCAAGAAAACUUCGACUCCUCCUAGAUAAUCAUCCUGUGAUCAAGACACUGACUGGUGGCACAGGAGUACAGAUUUCAAGUUUCUGUUCUGCAAGAUGUCAGAAACCCGUAUUCCAGGCCAGCUUUCUGGCCACCAAAUAUCAAGCUAUUCUUGUAUUCUGUCUCUCCUGUUGGACCUGUUUCACUUUGUAUAAAUAAAUAACCAUUAAUUGAACAAGGGCUUGAACUCAGGCUGCCCAUUGAACUAUUGCAUUGGUCUUUCCCCAGGUCAGUGAACAGGUAACUGCUCGUGUGAAGUUAGCAAGUUGCAGAGCAACAGAGGCAGCUGAGGGGGUCCCAAAAAUGCAAAGGAAAAAAAGAAAACCACUCAGUAAAGUAAUUUAGUAGAGUAUGAAUCACCUGGUUUUCAGUCCUUGACCUGAAUGAGGAAGAAGGACUCCUAGCUGUUCUAGGAGAGGCUUUGUCCGGUCAUCUGAAAGGUCAUAAUUCCAUCAAAUUUUGAAAAGAGAUAAUAUUUUAAAGUCAUACUUUCUUCCUUUUUGAAAUUUAAAAAAAAAAAAAAAGAAAAAAGAACACCUUUAGCUAAAUGAUCCUCUAACAAACCCCUUGCAUUAGAAUGCAGGUGCUACAUAUCUUUAGCAUCACAAUAUCUUGAGUCUUAAAGUUUCUGGAACCUCUGCCCCAGACAUGAAAAAGGACCUCACUGUUCCAGUUCCAAUUGAUUUCUUCACCUAACACUCUUCCCAACUUUGCUGGUAUUUUUCAAAUGAAGGUUUAAGUCUAUUACUUGCACAUUAUUUUUACGUGAUGAAUAUAAAUUUUAGUCAUAUAUUGUCAAACAGAAAGAUAACUGAAAGCAAUAUGGAAAAUUCAGUGAUUAGUGUAACAUUGUCAUAAAAGAUCAUAUAAAAGGUAAGACAAGGACUGGAGAGGUUGAGUCCUAAUCUUCUUGCCUCACUGCUAGAUAAUAUACUGCAAUAACUUUAAUAUUUACAUUUGAUGGUCAAAAAUAUUUCUUUUCAAGCAUCUCUCUGAUAAGGAACUUGGAUUAAGUUCUUUGAUUAUGAACUAAAAUCCUUGUUUUAGUCAGAUUCACCUCUCCAUAAGCAUAUCAACAAAUUGGUAUUUCUGUAGACGUAAGAGUCUGCUUUUUCUUUAAUGUCAUAUAAUCAUUCUCAUAAGCACUUGCAUAAAAUCAGUUAAGAGUUAACCAACUAAAAUAUACAAAUAUGCGGGAGGUUUUAUGAAGAACUACAACUUCAAAAGGAGUUGGUUUAGGGGUCAUGACCCCAUUUUUUGCAAUAACUUAUGCAUCACGAACUUACGUAAUUGGCAGCAGAUAACAUAUCACACUCUAAGUUUUAUGUCCUUGGUUUGACAACAGUGUCAAUUGAAGUAUUUGCUAACUGCAGAACAAAUGGAGCCUCAUAGAUGAAAAUGUUUUCAUUCCAAAACUGAUGUUUGUAGCAAAACAUUCCCCCAUUAUUGUUCUUUUUUAAUAUUGCUAAAUUCAGAAAUGGAUAGGGGUAUACACAUAAUUUUGGACAUCAAAUAAAUAUUUCUGAAUAUAAUUUAUCCUAGCAAAAUGGAAAUACCUGAGAAAGGAAAGUAUAUCUUUUUCUAAAUAAAAUAUUGUCAACACAAAAGAACACAUAUGAAGUGCCCUUGGAUCUCUAAAUCUUUGUUAUCUUUAGAGCAUGAAUCAGCUUUAAGAUAAAUUAUUGGGAAAUGAGCAACCUGGAUUGUAAAACGUUUUAGAAGGGUAGGUUUAAGCCUAUGUCUUCCUUUUCCCAGAGAUUGCAUUAAACAGUAGUCAAGAGGCAAGUCUAGACUGCUUUUCCCUGUGGAAACUGGACACCUGUACCAUCCACUUAAAAGGCCCAUCCUCUUGGGACACUGGAAUCUUCACAAGCCA